rnacentral:rRNA from 1 species
AUUGAACGCUGGCGGCAGGCUUAACACAUGCAAGUCGAGCGAGCGGCGGACGGGUGAGUAAUGUCUGGGCAUCUGCCUGAUGGAGAGGGAUCACUACUGGAAACGGUAGCUAAUACCGCAUCCACUCGGAUGUGCCCAGUUGGGAUUAGCUAGUAGGUGGGGUAAUGUCUCACCUAGGCGACGAGCCCUAGCUGGGCUGAGAGGAUGACCGGCCAAACUGGAACGGAGACACGGUCCAGACUCCUACGGGAGGCAGCAGUGGGGAAUAUUGCACAAUGGGCGCAAGCCUGAUGCAGCCAUGCCGCGUGUGUGAAGAAGGCCUUCGGGUUGUAAAGCACUUUCAGCGAGGAGGCGUUACUCGCAGAAGAAGCACCGGCUAACUCCGUGCCAGCCGCCGCGGUAAUAC